rnacentral:rRNA from 1 species
CCUACGGGAGGCAGCAGUAAGGAAUAUUGGUCAAUGGAGGCAACUCUGAACCAGCCAUGCCGCGUGCAGGAAGACUGCCCUAUGGGUUGUAAACUGCUUUUAUCCGGGAAUAAACCUGCUUACGUGUAAGUAGCUGAAUGUACCGGAAGAAUAAGGAUCGGCUAACUCCGUGCCAGCAGCCGCGGUAAUACGGAGGAUCCAAGCGUUAUCCGGAUUUAUUGGGUUUAAAGGGUGCGUAGGCGGCCUGUUAAGUCAGGGGUUGAAAGACGGUAGCUCAACUAUCGCAGUGCCCUUGAUACUGAUGGGCUUGAAUGGACUAGAGGUAGGCGGAAUGAGACAAGUAGCGGUGAAAUGCAUAGAUAUGUCUCAGAACACCGAUUGCGAAGGCAGCUUACUAUGGUCUUAUUGACGCUGAGGCACGAAAGCGUGGGGAUCAAACAGGAUUAGAUACCCUGGUAGUCCCACGACCUAACGAUANACACUCGUCUGUUGGUCG